CCCUCCACUUCCAGGCAGUUAGCCUCUUGAGGCAAUUCAAAGCCCAGAUUUUGUGUUUUGUCAAAAUUGGACAUCUCAUUUGUGUGACAUUCCAAAAUACAGUAAUAUGAGUUGUUUUAGGGUUUGGACCAUAAGAAAUUAUACAGGUAUAAUCCUCAGAAAGCUCAAUCUCACGUGCAGAGAGAGAACCUACACACCCAUGGCUAGAGCCAAUGGGUACAGGAAGUGAACUUGAUUUUAUUUCCGAAGAAUUAUCUGUUUGUGUACAUCCACCACUAAACUGUGGUAAACUUGUUAUAGUAGUGGUUCUAUUCUCGGAACAAAACUUUUUAGAACUCAAAGGGGAUGUGGGGGAUAAGCUAAUUGGAGAAGAGAUUUCAAAGGGUUUAGGUUCCAACCGGACUCCAUCAUUCCCAAAGACAGCAUCAGAGUCUGAUUUACCUAAUUUGGGGUUAGGAGUUUUGGUUUGUGAUUGUAGCAAAAGCAUGUAGUCUCUUGGCAAAGAUUUGGAUCUCACAGAAUAACCAGUCUUCAUCUGUGAUCCAAAUAUUAUAUUCUUCCUCU
rnacentral:misc_RNA from 1 species